CCUACGGGUGGCAGCAGUGAGGAAUAUUGGUCAAUGGGCGCGAGCCUGAACCAGCCACGUCGCGUGAGGGAUGAAGGUUCUCUGGAUCUUAAACCUCUUUUUUCAGGGAAUAAAGUGUGGGACGUGUCCUAUUUUGUAUGUACCUUAUGAAUAAGGAUCGGCUAACUUCGUGCCAGCAGCCGCGGUAAUACGGAGGAUCCGAGCGUUAUCCGGAUUUAUUGGGUUUAAAGGGUGCGUAGGUGGCCUUUUAAGUCAGCGGGGAAAGUCUGUGGCUCAACCAUAGAAUUGCCGUUGAAACUGGGGGGCUUGAGUAUGUUAGAGGCAGGCGGAAUGCGUGGUGUAGCGGUGAAAUGCUUAGAUAUCACGCAGAACCCCGAUUGCGAAGGCAGCCUGCCAAGCCAUGACUGACGCUGAUGCACGAAAGCGUGGGGAUCAAACAGGAUUAGAUACCCUUGUAGUC
rnacentral:rRNA from 1 species